UGCUGAAUUAAAUAAUCUAAAGUACCGAGUAUCGGGACUUAAGUGAAUUAUGUGAAAAAUGGUUGUGUACUUCAUGGAACGAGGAUUUAUCCAUCAAUCAACCAGGAAGAAAAUGCAGUUUAUUUAAUAUGUUUCUGUUUCUGUUAUCCCCAAGGAACCAUUUCUUCAAUGGGCCGUGAACAUUACGGUAAUGAUAUUAAUAAAUUAUUUAUUAUUUACAAUUUUUAGAUUUUAUGCACUGAAUUAGAGUCACCCGUUUAUUUAUACUCUUGCAAUGCACCGAAUGAAAGUCAGAUAUGCAUUCAUCCUUGUACGGUGCCUUGAAUCGAGUCACUUUUACCGCUAGCCUCGUAAAGUAGCCUGAAUCGAGUCAAUUCUACCGCUACCUUCAUACGGUGCCCUAAACGCGAGUCACUUCUACCGCUUGUUUCGUAUGGUGCCUUGAGCGAGAGUCACUUCUACCGCUACCCUCAUACGGUGCCCUGAAUCGAAUCACUUUUACCGCUAGCCUCGUAAGGUACCCUGAAUCGAGUCACUUCUACCGCUACCUUCAUACGAUGCCCUGAAUGGGAGUCACUUUUAUCGUCACCCUAGUCACGUGAUUGAAGAUUAUAGAACUUCCAACAAUUCUUUAUAGAACAGGAAAUUGAAAUAUAUUAAUUACGUGAAGUAAAAGUUCAAAAAUAGUCGCCAAUCGUGCUAAAACGUUUAGUCUGUAUUUCCCUGUAUAGAAAUUUAUUGCAAGAAGAUUCCGUAACGCGAGUUAUAUUGAUAUGUAGUUGUGUGUGUGCGCCGUAGUACUCGUUGCGCUAGGAAUUGUAGUUUUUUUGUUGUUACACGCGUACGCGGUAUUACAAUAAGUUCGGAAUAAUUUUCCCAGAUGCGGAAUUUAAUUCUGUAUCUCCCUGUAUAGAAAUUUAUUGCCAGAAAGUUCCGUAACGCGAGUUAUAUUGAAAGUUGUGUGUGUGCGCCGUAGUACUCGUUGCGCUACGAAUUUGUAGUUUAUUUGUUAUAACACGCGAACGCGGUGUCAGUUUGAAAUAAUUUUCCCAGAUGCUGAAUUUAAUUCUGUAUCUCCCUGUAUAGAAAUUUAAUGCAAGAAAAUUCCGUAACGCGAGUUAUAUUGAAAGUUGUGUGUGUGCGCCGUAGUACUCGUUGUACUAGGAAUUGUAGUUUAGUCACUUUUACCGCUAGCCUCGUAAGGUACCCUGAAUCGAGUCACUUCUACCGCUAGGUUCGUACGGUGCCUUGAAUGGGAGUCACUUCUACCGUCACCCUCGUCACGUGAUUGAAGAUUAUAAAACUUCCUAAAAUUCUUUAUAGAACAGGAUAAUGAAAUAUAUUAAUUACGUGACGUAAAAGUUCAAAAAUAGUUGCUAAAGGAGCUAAGAUAGGAAAUUUACCUUGUUGUUCCCAGAUUUUCAAUUGCCAUUAUCUCCUAAACUGCCUUUUCAUAUAGACUGCAUUCAAUUUCGGAUUGUAGGAUACAUUGUUUAUGUGAAUAAGAGGGUACGUUCAGAAUAUAAAAUCUUUUCAUUGUAUUGAACUGUAUCCACAACAUGAAUAGUUUAUACUCGUAGUUCGCACUCUUGGCUCUUAUCGGUGUUAGUGCACAAACAACUUGUUUUAUUGCGUUGCAGCACAUCCGAUGCGCUCAACAGUGUUUGUUCCAUUUCUUACUUAGUCGAUCGUGCGCUGCGGCGUAGUGUGCACGCGUUUACUUGCGCGGCGGUCUUCAUGGCGACUUAUCGCGUGUUUUGUGAUUUUAAGUCGGUAGUUGAAUUGUAAUCAGUCACCAAAGAUAAGAUUUAGAAUUAACAGACAAGUGCGUCCUAUAGUUAAUGAGUUAUCGCGCGUGGAACUAAUAAUUUCGUGGUUUUACAACGUACGCACCACGUGUUUUCCGUCGGCCGUCGGAUAUCUUCCAUCGGCUAAGGCUUGUUUCGUGUAUCCAUUUAAUUGUUAAUUUGAAUAAAUAUCAUUUGUGCAUCGUAUGGAAUAUUUCAUCUGCGAAAACCUAAAAAAGUAUGUAACAUAAAAACUAUAUUCUAUUACAAUUCGACGAACAGUCAAAUGUGGAUUUAUCACCUUAUAAGGAAAAACGAUCAGAAAAAUUACUUAACACUUUAAUACAUAGCCUAGUGGUGACAUGCUUGCAUAUAAUAACCUUUGUAAUACAAGUAUUGGAAUAUUGUCGCGUUCCGUCGGCUGCGCAUUCGCUCUCAUUCGGGACUUUUUCGUGCCUUCUUUUUGCUUUUGUAUUCAUAAUUCUGUCUGUGCUAAGUUUUGGGUUUAAGAGAUCUGAAUUUAGUAUUUCUAUUAAUGUGUUUAAUAAAUUUAUAAUUAUUAGCAAUUGUAUUCUUUAUUAUGUUUCUAUUCACGUACUUAUCACUUCCCCUAGAUAAACAGUAGAAAACAGGUAAUAAAACAUUCACUUUUGAUUUUGUUUUUGUAUCACCCUGUAAUUACUUUUAUUGCUCGGCGAAAAAUGAUCAUAAUUAUAUUGUUUUGGGGCAAUCUUGGGAUUUUCUUUUUCAAGUGAAGAUUUUCUUUUGAUAACACCCUGUAUAUAAUUUUCCACUGAUGUCAUACGAAAACAGGGCGUAAUUUGUUAUUUUUUAGUGUUAUCUUUGGUAAUUUCCCAGCCGUUAGCAUAGCACGGCUAUGCAGGUCAUAAACAUGUUUUAAAAUGACGUCAUAUGUCUUGUAACUAUUGAACAUACAAGUUAUGAACUUAUAUUGUAUUUAGUUUGUUAAUAAAGAAAUGUUAAAGGCAA